rnacentral:rRNA from 1 species
CCUACGGGAGGCAGCAGUGAGGAAUAUUGGUCAAUGGACGAGAGUCUGAACCAGCCAAGUCGCGUGAAGGAUGACUGCCCUAUGAGUUGUAAACUUCUUUUAUAUGGGAGUAAAAUGUUCCACGUGUGGGAUUUUGUAUGUACCAUAUGAAUAAGGAUCGGCUAACUCCGUGCCAGCAGCCGCGGUAAUACGGAGGAUCCGAGCGUUAUCCGGAUUUAUUGGGUUUAAAGGGAGCGUAGGUGGAUUGUUAAGUCAGUGGUGAAAUUUUGAGGCUCAACCAUAAAAUUGCAGUUGAAACUGGUAGACUUGAGUACAGUAGAGGUGGGCGGAAUUCGUGGUGUAGCGGUGAAAUGCUUAGAUAUCACGAAGAACUCCGAUUGCGAAGGCAGCUCACUGGACUGCAACUGACACUGAGGCUCGAAAGUGUGGGUAGCAAACAGGAUUAGAUACCCGAGUAGUC